UAGCGGCAGGCUAACACAUGCAAGUCGAGGGGCAGCGUGGUGGUAGCAAUACUACGUGACGGCGACCGGCGGAAGGGUGAGUAACGCGUGAGCAACGUGCCGCCAUCUGGGGGGAUAAUCGGCUGGAAACGGCGUCUAAUAUCGCGUAACACAUUGAUGGGCAUCCAUUGGUGUUGAAAGAUUUAUCGGAUGGCGAUCGGCUCGCGUGCCAUUAGGUAGACGGCGGGGUAACGGCCCACCGUGCCGACGAUGGCUAGGGGUUCUGAGAGGAAGAUCCCCCACAUUGGGACUGAGACACGGCCCAGACUCCUACGGGAGGCAGCAGUGAGGAAUAUUGGACAAUGGAAGGAAUUCUGAUCCAGCCAUGCCGCGUGCGGGAGGACGGCCCCUAUGGGUUGUAAACCGCUUUUGUGUGGGAGCAAUAAGCUGCACGUGUGCAGUGAUGAGAGUACCAUACGAAUAAGCAUCGGCUAACUCCGUGCCAGCCGCCGC
rnacentral:rRNA from 1 species